UACGUAGGGGGCAAGCGUUGUCCGGAUUCACUGGGCGUAAAGCGCGCGCAGGCGGUGAUGUAAGUCUGAGGUGAAAACCCGAAGCUCAACUUCGGGACUGCCUUGGAUACUGCGUCACUUGAGGAUAGGAGAGGCAAGGGGAAUUCCACGUGUAGCGGUGAAAUGCGUAGAGAUGUGGAGGAACACCUGUGGCGAAGGCGCCUUGCUGGCCUAUUUCUGACGCUGAGGCG
rnacentral:rRNA from 1 species